GAGAGAGAGAGAGAGAUGGUAGUUACCAUAAAGGAGAUGAAAUUCAAGUUUAGUCUUCUUGAUUUUAAUGAUUAAGAAUCAGUGCUUUAACAGAAAUUAGAAAAAUUUAUACGACGAGGGAUAGAAGUGUUCAAAAUGGUCCUUAACAUAUGGCGUGUCAAAACAUACAAAUUUUCAAAUACCAUUUUUUUCAACACAAAUAGAAUGUUCAUCAGCCAUGCUUCCUUGGAGGCACAGAGACUAUUCAUUACACAGUGUUUACAAUUAUGUGGAGUAUUUAUAAUGAAAAUAAUGCCCAGAUUUCUAAGAAUCAAUCUUUGCAUUUCCAACUUCUGUGGGACAGAAUCGUUUUCUUGGCAUCUCUGGGGAUUUCUGCAUCUGGGGCCUCUAAAGGGAUGUCUCUAGCUGAUAUUCGAUAUGAUUGGAGACAUUUUCAUGGUUUACAAAUGUAAUAUAUUCAAUUUUAUCAAAGUCAAAUUACUUGUAUGUAAUAUAGAGAGACAACAAACAAUGUGAUAACAUUAGAGAAUGAUUACUUUGAAUAAAGCAGAUGGCUAGAUUCGUGGCCGAGGACACUAUCUAGCUGUAUUUAUCUUCAUUACCUCCCUACUUAUAUUUCAUGGUUAUUGUUAUUGUUAUCCUUCUGCUAAGAAUUAUAUUAAAAACACAAAAAUAAAGAAAGCAUCGCAUUGGCAUCCCCAUACCUCCCUUUGUAAGGCCUCAUCAAG
rnacentral:misc_RNA from 1 species